rnacentral:rRNA from 1 species
AUACGUAGGGGGCGAGCGUUGUCCGGAAUGAUUGGGCGUAAAGGGCGCGUAGGCGGCCCGGUAAGUCUGGAGUGAAAGUCCUGUUUUUAAGAUGGGAAUUGCUUUGGAUACUGUCGGGCUUGAGUGCAGGAGAGGUAAGUGGAAUUCCCAGUGUAGCGGUGAAAUGCGUAGAGAUUGGGAGGAACACCAGUGGCGAAGGCGACUUACUGGACUGUAACUGACGCUGAGGCGCGAAAGUGUGGGGAGCAAACAGGAUUAGAUACCCUGGUAGUCCACACUGUAAACGAUGAAUGCUAGGUGUAGGGGGUAUCGACCCCUUCUGUGCCGCAGUCAACACAAUAAGCAUUCCGCCUGGGGAGUACGGCCGCAAGGUUGAAACUUAAAGGAAUUGACGGGG